rnacentral:rRNA from 1 species
UACGGGGGGAGCAAGCGUUGUUCGGAUUUACUGGGCGUAAAGGGCGCGUAGGCGGUCAGCACAAGUCAGUUGUGAAAUCUCCGGGCUUAACUCGGAAAGGUCAACUGAUACUGGCGGGCUUGAAUCCGGGAGAGGGAUGCGGAAUUCCAGGUGUAGCGGUGAAAUGCGUAGAUAUCUGGAGGAAUACCGGUGGCGAAGGCGGCAUCCUGGACCGAGAUUGACACUGAUGAGCGAAAGCUAGGGGAGCAAACGGG